GUAGAAACCAAAACAACACCAAUUGUCGUUCGCACAUGGCGUGGGACGCCUUUUAGGGGCAAAUAGAGACCGGUGAUGCCUCGUACCCGCGAGGUAUUCAAAUGACCGUGAGAACGAACGUCAUGCCAUCCAUCCAACAACCCAAGAACAUCGAAGAAAUCGGGGGUUGGAUCAUGGCAUUUGCUUCGAAGUUCACCUCGUACCGCUAGUAGCAACUUAAGGCGAAAGGGGCAUCGUUAAUCCAACCGAUUCCCAAAAUUUGGGUAUAGAACACAAGAAACCGAGUCGGGCCAAGAUUUUUUUCCUACUCUUGAACCAAUUGCCGCUGAAAAG
rnacentral:misc_RNA from 1 species